UCUGCUUCUGCUUCUGUUGGUGUGUUCCAAGCUCCUUGAUUCUGUUUUUCUGGUCUGGUUCCUUUUUGGCUGGUGGCUGUUCUGCAGCUUUUCUGCAUUCAUCUCUAUACCCUUCCAACAUUUUCUGGAUGGCAUCUUGCUUUUCCUCAAAAGUUUUGAGCUCAUUGUCUGGACAAAUUUUAGAGAUCAAGAAUGACAGGGAGAGAGCAAAAUGAGCCAGAGGCAAGAUCCCUUUUUUCCUUGAGAUGAAACAUUCUCUUGAUUCUGCAGCCCUGAUUCAAAAAGAGUUGGUUCUUCUCACUUUGCAUAUUUCAGGGAAAUCAAAAUGUUGCAUCCAGUCAAUCUUAUUGCACUGUUCCACCUGUUUCCUCAACAUCCAUCCUGCUUACCUGGAGUCGGGUUGUGGAGGCAGCAGCAUAUAAAACCAUUGACAGACUGGUGGUGAAGUCAACUGAGGGGAACUUCAGGCAAUCAGGGAAACCUCUGCUCCAAUGUGUUUAUUUCCUGUUCAACAAAAUGUCAAUGCCAAUUCACUGAAAUCACAUGAUUUACUGGGGUUACCUACAUGUAGUGCUGGAUUAAAUGGAAAAGUAACACAACAAAAGACUGACAUAGCACAUGAUUUGUAUUAUGUUUAUUACUUUAGUUAGGUAGAGUCAGUAGGUGAUUUGUUAAUUUUUAGCAGGGGGGAUGGCCCAAUGGGAGCACCACCCUGCCCCGA